GCCCGUUUAGCAAAGUUGGAAUUGCGGCAGCCUUCUAAGCUGCAGGUCGUGGGAUCGAGACCCACAAUGGGUG
rfam:Dictyostelium discoideum AX4 chromosome 5, whole genome shotgun sequence.